rnacentral:rRNA from 1 species
CAGUCGACGAGAACGGAUUAUAGCUUGCUAUAAUUGUCAGCUAAGUGGCGCACGGGUGAGUAAUGUAUAGGUAAUAUGCCUCUUACUAAGGGAUAACAAAUGGAAACGUUUGCUAAUACCUUAUACUCCUUAUUAACAGAAGUUAAUAAGGGAAAGAUUUAUUGGUAAGAGAUUAGCCUGUAUUGUAUCAGUUAGUUGGUGGGGUAAUGGCUUACCAAGACUAUGACACAUAACUGGUUUGAGAGGAUGAUCAGUCACACUGGAACUGAGACACGGUCCAGACUCCUACGGGAGGCAGCAGUGGGGAAUAUUGCACAAUGGACGAAAGUCUGAUGCAGCAACGCCGCGUGGAGGAUGACACAUUUCGGUGCGUAAACUCCUUUUAUAUGAGAAGAUAAUGACGGUAUUAUAUGAAUAAGCACCGGCUAACUCCGUGCCAGCAGCCGCGGUAAUACGGGGGGGUGCAAGCGUUACUCGGAAUCACUGGGCGUAAAGAGCAUGUAGGCGGAUUAAUAAGUUUGAAGUGAAAUCCUAUAGCUUAACUAUAGAACUGCUUUGAAAACUGUUAAUCUAGAAUGUGGGAGAGGUAGAUGGAAUUUCUGGUGUAGGGGUAAAAUCCGUAGAGAUCAGAAGGAAUACCGAUUGCGAAGGCGAUCUACUGGAACAUUAUUGACGCUGAGAUGCGAAAGCGUGGGGAGCAAACAGGAUUAGAUACCCUGGUAGUCCACG